rnacentral:rRNA from 1 species
UGAGAAUGUGCCUUCGGGAACCGUGAGACAGGUGCUGCAUGGCUGUCGUCAGCUCGUGUUGUGAAAUGUUGGGUUAAGUCCCGCAACGAGCGCAACCCUUAUCCUUUGUUGCCAGCGGUCCGGCCGGGAACUCAAAGGAGACUGCCAGUGAUAAACUGGAGGAAGGUGGGGAUGACGUCAAGUCAUCAUGGCCCUUACGACCAGGGCUACACACGUGCUACAAUGGCGCAUACAAAGAGAAGCGACCUCGCGAGAGCAAGCGGACCUCAUAAAGUGCGUCGUAGUCCGGAUUGGAGUCUGCAACUCGACUCCAUGAAGUCGGAAUCGCUAGUAAUCGUGGAUCAGAAUGCCACGGUGAAUACGUUCCCGGGCCUUGUACACACCGCCCGUCACACCAUGGGAGUGGGUUGCAAAAGAAGUAGGUAGCUUAACCUUCGGG